rnacentral:rRNA from 1 species
GGGGGGGGGGGGGGGGGGGGGGGGGGGGGGGGGGGCGGGGGGGGAGGGCGGGCGGGUGUGGGGUGCUCGGGGGGGGAGCGGGGGGGUAAGGCGUGGGGAACCUGCCCUGGACUUUGGGAUAACUUCAGGAAACUGGGGCUAAUGCCGGUGAGGAGCUCCUGCUGCAUGGUGGGGGUUGGAAAGUGUCGGCGGUUGGGGAUGGACGCGCGGUUGAUCAGCUUGUUGGUGGGGUAGUGGCUGACCCAGGCUUUGACGGGUAGCCGGCCUGAGAGGGUUACCGGCCACAUUGGGACUGAGAUACGGCCGAGACUCCUACGGGAGGCAGCAGUGGGGAAUACGGCACAAUGGGCGGAAGCCUGAUGCAGCAACGCCGCGUGCGGGAUGACGGCCUUCGGGUUGUAAACCGCUUUCGCCUGUGACGAAGCGUGAGUGACGGUAAUGGGUAAAGAAGCACCGGCUAACUACGUG